rnacentral:lncRNA from 1 species
AAAAAAAAAAGUUAUUGUUUUUAUAUUGUUAUUGUCCCUGGGAAUCUUUGCUAUCGGUGUACUGUGUACUUCCUGCCUACCUCUGAGUUUGUAAAGUAGGUAAAAGAGCAGAUGUGAUUGCUAAGAAUAUAGCAUUGACCUCUAUGUAAAAUUUAUAGGUUCUCACACAGAGUGCUGAGGCUUUUGAUCAGCAUCUUUGAAAGUAUUGCUUGUAUACAUUUCAAGUAAAAGAUCAUUCUAAUUAUUUCAUAGUCAUACUUUACAUGAAAGAGCUUUGUAAAUAAUUGGAAAAUCUUUAACAAGCUUUGAUUAAUAAUGCUGGCUUUAAUUUUAACUUCAUAUUAUUGUUUUCCAAAUGAUUUCCAUAAUAGAGACCAUGGUGGAUCUAAGCAUGAGAUUUUAAGUUCCUGCCUUUCAAAGGUGUGGCUAAAAACAAGGAGGAUAGAAAACACUGUGUGCUGUCAUGCCAAGCUCUCUGUGUAGGGACUUUAUCUUCACCAUUGCAUUUCAUCCUCAAAACAGCCCUGCAAGGUAAGUAUCUGUAUUUUAUAGAUGGGAAAAACUAAGAUUCAGAAAGUUUACAUAACUACAAAUCUGGUAAGAACUAGAGCCGAGAUCCAUUUCCUGCUCUGUCUUUUCUCACAGUUGUUGCUACAAGGCCACUGAGCUGACUCACCACCCCGGGAGUCAGUGAAGGCUUCCCCGAGGAAGCAGUGUUUGAGCUGAGCCUUGAAACAGAAGUAAGAAGACUCCAGGAGAAGGCUGCAGUAGAGGCUAGAGCUAUUUUUCCUGGCAACAGACCCAGAGAGAAGCUCAACACUUGGAGUAUGAAAGGAGAGUUGGAAAGAAAUCAACUGUGGAAUAACUGCGUGAGUCAUAGUCCAUGUUCUCCUUCCCUGCAUCACAUGCUCAGGCUAAAACCAGAGGACUAAUAUUUAAAAUAAUUGAAUAGUCUUCGUGAGAAGGAGCCCUAGUUGGGGUGAUGCCUCAUCUGAGUAAACUUCUUCCCACUUUUGCUGGGAAGUGGGAGAAGUAGGGAGGGGGACCUCCAACCUCCUCUUCUUUCACUACAAGGUCUAAAGCAAAGGCUGCCAGUGACAGCCACUUGUGUAGACAAGAGAGAGCUGGACAAGGCCGAGCUAUCUGCAUUGAAUGAGGUGACUUACCUCAGUUGUAGGUAUGAAUCUAUAGCCAAGGAUUAUGAAAACCUGAAGAAAAAUGAGGACAAAAGAGCAGGUUGAGAGAAAAAAUACCCUGACUCUGGAGGAAAUAGAUAAUUCAGGACAUAGAAAAUUCUUUAUUCUAUGUAGUAUCCUCAUGGAAACAAAGUCGAGAGAAAGCAUUUUUAGUGCAAAAUUAGAUUGCUAAGAAAGAACAACUAAAACAAAAUAAAUAGUUAUUAAAAUGAAAAAGUAAUUGUUAAAGUUAGAAAUUCAAGGGAAGACCUGGGAGAAAAAGUUGAAGAAACUGCUCUAAAUGUAGUGCAAAAAGAUAAAGGAUGGAAAAUGUGGGAGAAAAGUGAAGAGAUUAGAGAAGCAUCCAAAGGGAUGUUCAGAAAGAGACAAAACAAAGAAUAAGAGAGAAUUUUCCAUAAGUGAGGAAAUAGGACUUGAGAUUGUAAGAACCCUAGAGAAUGCAAAAUAGGAUGAAUGAACAAACUUAGCCCAAGGCACAUUCUUGUGACAUUUUAGAUAUUGAGAAUAAAGGGAAGAGUCUAAAAGCCAAAAGAAUAGAUUACUCAGUGAGAAUCCAAUUGGUAUUAGAUAGAUCAUCAGCAACUGUAAAUGCUAAGAAAAACAAAACAAGAAGCAUGCCUUCAAAAUGUGUAAAAUAAAGUUUUUUGAACCUAAAAUUCUCUACUUAGCCAAACUAUCAAUCGAUCAAGAGUGAGGCAUUUUCAAGCAUGCAAGAACUCAGACCAUUUACCACCCACAGACUAUUUCUGAAAGAAUUACUGAAGCAAAACAAAAAAGAAUCCAAGUAGGAGGAAGCCAUGGCCUCUAAGGAACAGUGGAUCUCACCCAAGAUUGUAAUGAAAUAUAAUUCCAGGAUGACAACCUUGAGGCAGGCCUAGAAAGCCAUCAGUCUGAAUUAGAACCAGAAGUCAGAUGCUCUGUGAAGAAUCUCUUUCAGGAGGACAUGGAUUUCUUCUAUAAAUUGAAUGACUGAGAAGCUGAGUGGUCUUGUGACAAGGCAAAGGCAUGGUAGGUCAUUGUGAUAAGGUAUCAUCCAAACACUCUCCAAACUGUGAAGUAAUUUUCUUCUUCCAAUAGCAAAGGUUUAUUGACAAGAGUUACGUCUCCUCUAUAGGCUCAAGGGCACAGCUGUGCUUGGUUCUGCAGUGAACAAUGAUCUCCCUACGAAUAUUAUGAAUGCUACUUUUCAGUUUUCAGUUUAAAAAAUCAAUUUAUAGACAAUGCAUCAAAGAUUAAUUGUAGUUAUAGGACAAGUGUGAAAACAAUAGUACACUGGAAUGGAGGUUAGGAGAGAGGGAAGGAGCAAAGGAACAAGAUGUAAUGAUGUUGGAUUCUUUUCAUCAGAAAUAAAAAGAAUUAAGAGAUA